UGUUCAGAAUAUUUGGAAGACUGAAAUCUACACUCACUACUAAGAAGCUACUCCAUAAUGGGGAAAUUAUUGAUGUGAAGAAAUUGAAGCAGAGAUUGUAAGGAACUUGCUUGAGAUCCCACAAGCAGUAAAUAUUAAAAAUCUAGAAUUAGACGCAGUUAACCUAUCUCUAGAGGCAAAUAUCAAACUGUCUACCAACCAGAAAUAAUGUAGAGGUAAGCAAUAUGAUGCCAUUUCUGACAUUUUAUUUUUGAAAUGUUGGUACUUAUAAUUAAUGUCAUAGGCUACUAGAUAUAAUACUUUUUCUUUGCAAAGACAACAUAUACCAGGUAAAGGCAGCUAUUAUUUUGACAGUAAUUAAAAAGAACUGCCUAUGGUUAAAAAUAUCAUUACUUAUGAAAAUCUCUGUUUAAAAAUAUCAGUGCUUAGGAAAAUCUCUGUGAACAAAAUAAUAUACAGCAGUUCAGGAAUGGGUAUUAUUCUUUAUUUCUAAUAUUUUAUUAUGAGAGUAGCUAUUCCUUUUCUCUACUUUCAGACUGGUUUUAUAGAAUAAUACAAGUGUAAAAAUAAAUGCCAUGUAUCAUCUUUGCAAAGAGAAUCAUGAAAUUGUGCAUG